GUCAUCACCAGCCUUGUUUUUAGUGUGUAUAUAUGUCACCCCUGUGAUGCAUACAUACACAGGUAUUAAAUAUAUCACUCUAUAUAAUAUUAUAUAGGUGUGUGAUAUUCAAGGAAUCUAAGGAGGGCUAGAGAUAAGGAAUUUGGUCAGAAAAUGCAGCCAUCCUUGUGUUCUUAGGAGGGUUGAUGGGGCUCAUCUGGCUCUUUGUGAGGAGACAGGGGGGACUAGACCUG